GGCUCGUUGGUAUAGGUGUAUUAUUCUAGCUUAGGGUGAAAGAAGUACCAGGUUCAAAUCCUGGACGAGCCC